CAAUACCAGAUAUGCAAGAGGGAAGGAACACAAAAGGUUCUUGUAGAUUAAAGAACAGGAAAAAAUAAAGAUCUGUAAGCAGGUCUAUUCCAUCAAUCAGAAAGUUCAAGAUUUCUUGCCUCCAGGAUAAGCUUCUUUGGAAAUUAUUACAAAAUGAGCAGUAGAAGAAAAAAGAAAAGAAAAACCUCUCCAUAUAAGAUGUGAAUGUGAAAGCAGGACUGGAGCUGUUGCAAUGUACAAAUGAAAACUGCAAUAAAAGAGUAGAAUGGAGAAAGAGACUGAAAUUUUUUCCCUGGCACAAACAAAAGGAGAUGUAGCUGCAACAAGCUCAGUAGUGACUGCAAAGUUAUCACUAUUGGACAGCUGCUUAGAAAAUGAUUUGCUGGUGUUGAUCCAGUUCCCAGAAGAGAGGAGAAAGAGCAUUGAAGAUGGCAUUUUACUUCACAGUCCCAAGCACAACCUAAGAACAGAAUGGGCAAAGGACACUAAAACCAUCUGUGUCAGCUAAUUGUUGACACUUGUUAGUAAACAAGGAGAAGAGUGAUCCAGAGCUGCUUGGAACUCCAGAGGUUUCAUAGAAGAGGGACCUCUCUGCCAGCAUCUGUUGGUGAGCAAAGGAAAAUGACUAAAUGGGCCACGCUUCAGUUGCAUUUCAGUUAUGUGACAGUUCACAUACAGUUCAGUUUUGUGUUUAGGGGCAAUACAAUUCUAUUAUCCCUAUUGGGAAAUGAAAAGACAAGAGAACUGCACCAAAAUGUGCCUGGGAUAAGGAGUCACCCUGAAAAAAGUCACGGCCAGCCACAGAUGAGUAAUGGUGUCUGGACCAAGCAUGAGUAAGUAGCCAGCCUGGUUCCUACUUUCUACUGAGAGUGUGUCCCUACUGGCAAGGACUCUGUGAGGGUCCUUUAUGCCACUGAUCCCUCUUUGAAGACUCAUCACAAGGCCUCAAGGCUGUGGACAGCUUUGAGAGAGUUGACAGAGCUGAGCCGAGGUGGCUUUGAGCAAGCGGAUGGAGCCAGACAGAGGCAGCUUUAAUGUGGCAGACAGAGAUGGUGCUAAAGCAGGCAAUGUUUCUGAGGUAGCUGAGGAGAGCAGCAGCAGCCUGAAGGACUCCGGUGAAGGUCUCCUACAAUCAAAGGUGACAUCACAUCAGCUGGAUCAGUAUUAAAACUUCCAGAGCAGCCCAGGCAAUACUGAUAUGCCUGAGGACUUGGACUCUACCGAUGCAGGACAACAAAAUGUGAGUGGGCAGCUGGAGAGGAUGAAGAUGACUAGGACACAGUCACUCACAAUCGCAAGAGGCGGACUGAGGCUGGAACUCUUGCUAAGAUAUAUUAAUGGGCAACAAGUCCCACCUAAUAGAUAUUGUUAAUGUAUUAAUUACUGGCUUCCCAAGUUUUUCUGUUCUCUCUCCCCUUACACACACACACUCCUCCCAGUAAAGUUCUCUUUGUUUUAACCCCAUGGACUCAGAAGUUGUGAGUGGGGAAAUGCUGCCUAUCAGGGUGUCUAGGGAGGUAUAUAUA